UACGUAGGGUGCAAGCGUUGUCCGGAAUUAUUGGGCGUAAAGAGCUCGUAGGCGGUUUGUCGCGUCGAAUGUGAAAACCCGGGGCUCAACUCCGGGCCUGCAGUCGAUACGGGCUGGCUUGAGUGCGGUAGGGGAGACUGGAAUUCCUGGUGUAGCGGUGAAAUGCGCAGAUAUCAGGAAGAACACCAACGGCGAAGGCAGCUCGCUGGGACGGUACUGACGCUGAGACGCGAAAGCGUGGGGAGCGAACAGG
rnacentral:rRNA from 1 species